AGUUCAGAUUGCAGGCUGCAACUUGCCUGCAUGAAGUUGGAAUUGCUAGUAAUCGCGAAUCAGAAUGUCGCGGUGAAUACGUUCCCGGGCCUUGUACACACCGCCCGUCACACCAUGAGAGUCGAUAACACCCGAAGCCUGUGAGCUAACCGCAAGGGGGCAGCAGUCGAAGGUGGGGUUGAUGAUUGGGGUGAAGUCGUAACAAGGUAAC
rnacentral:rRNA from 1 species